AUUGAACGCUGGCGGCAUGCUUUACACAUGCAAGUCGAACGGUAACAGGCCGCAAGGUGCUGACGAGUGGCGGACGGGUGAGUAAUGCAUCGGAACGUGCCCAGUCGUGGGGGAUAACGCAGCGAAAGCUGCGCUAAUACCGCAUACGAUCUAUGGAUGAAAGCGGGGGACCGUAAGGCCUCGCGCGAUUGGAGCGGCCGAUGUCAGAUUAGGUAGUUGGUAGGGUAAAGGCUCACCAAGCCAACGAUCUGUGGCUGGUCUGAGAGGACGACCAGCCACACUGGGACUGGGACACGGCCCAGACUCCUACGGGAGGCAGCAGUGGGGAAUUUUGGACAAUGGGCGCAAGCCUGAUCCAGCAAUGCCGCGUGCAGGAAGAAGGCCUUCGGGUUGUAAACUGCUUUUGUACGGAACGAAAAGGCUCUGGAUAAUACCUGGGGCUCAUGACGGUACCGUAAGAAUAAGCACCGGCUAACUACGUGCCAGCAGCCGCCGUAAAAC
rnacentral:rRNA from 1 species